rnacentral:lncRNA from 1 species
UGUGGAUUCGUUUUGGAGCUUAAGAUUUUGGUAAGCAAACUAAGCGUAUAUUACGCUAAAUCAAGGAGCGUGUGCAGCGGCCAUAGCGCGGUCGUUGCAUUGGCACGGCCCCCGCACACCCAGCAGAUAAGCAGCGUGCAAUCCCAAGAGGUCCCAGCAAGUCCAUGUAACAAAAGCUGUCAAAAUGCACUAGACCGCUGUUCCACAGAGAACCCUUGCCAGCCUCAAGAACUUGGUCUCGACGGCUGAACGCUAACAAUAACGACGUGUUGUGCAAAGCUUCAGCGCUGACCUGAUGGACGAAGAAGUCCUCGCCACCACCUUCAGGUGUGAUGAAUCCAAAGCCCUUAGUGGCGUUGAACCACUUCACGGUUCCCCGUUGCCUGAGCUGCUCGCCCAUUCCCGCGACCCUCCACGCUCAGUCGGCGUUCGGGGCCAGCUUUCGGCAGCUUACAGGGCAAGAGCUGCCCGUCUGUUGCAGAACCAGGUCGGAGCGAACAGGACUGCGCCGACGACGCUGCAGUUUCGAGGAGAGAUGAUGUACGGCAGAGAUCUGUUGUACUUUGGAGCCCCGCAAUUCCGUUUCUUUCUGAUUAUGGAUAUGGUUGUCAAGGGCGGCACAAAUCCUGGUCGGAUGAGGAUGUGCGGUUAAUGGAAUUUCGUGUUUUUGUGUCGGUGUAGAGUCUCAGACUUUUGCAGAUGCCGUCGUCUAACGAAAGCUUUACCCAAGG